AGAGCAAAGGAACAAAAAUAUCUGUGUUCACAACAGAAACAAAGGAAACAGAGGGAGGGCAGAGAGGGGCAGCGAGCGGGCGAUAUCACCAUAGAAAGAGGAGGAGUUGUAUAUAGCAGAGAGAAAAAGGAAAAGCUUUAGAGAGAAAAAGCAAAGAGAGAUGAGGGGGGUCUCAUCAUUUCCCUUUCUUCUCUUCUUCCUUUCCUUUUCUCAUAAUUUCAUCGCAGGCUUUUCAGAUGAUUCUUCAAAUCCCAAAAAUGGAACAAAAACUGAUAGUCAUGCUGCAACCAGCAGUCACACUGGGUCAACGAUACUCGUUGUAUGCCUUGCCCUUGUGGCGAUAGUGCUUCUAGCAUUUUUCCUUUUCAAGUUUUGGCAAAAGAAGAAGCGCGAAGAGCAGUAUGCUCGUCUGCUAAAGUUGUUUGAAGAAGAUGAUGAGCUAGAGCUUGAGCUCGGUCUUCGGGAUUAAAUUUGUACCAGAUGUUGACAAUCAAUCUAUUGAGGGGCAGAUGCAAGUAAUAUCCUAAAUUCAGAUUCUUGAUUCAGAGAUCACAAUGGGUUGGAUGAUUCCAGAAUCUUGGCAUAAUCAAGAGAAUCUUUAUUUCACAGUUGUAGAAAUAUGUACCAGUAUUAGCAGAACCAAAAUUAUCAUGCAUUCUUUUUUUUGGAGACAGAUUGAUGGAUGACAAAUAUUGCCAAAGGUCGCCCUUCCAACUCAGCAAUGUAAUUCAUCCUUCACAAUUCACAUAUUCACUCUGUAAUAGUUGUGUAGUAGGUAUUUGCAGAUUGUUAGAUGGCUUUGAAACAUGAGGUAUAUUUUUUCACAAAAGCUCAAAUGAGCUAAACUGUAUCUAAGUGUACACAUUUACUUUUGUACCCUCCGAUGUAAUGUUCGGCCUACUCUUUUUGUGUGAGUGGAAGAUGAUCUCUCUUCCCUUAAUAAGAAGUCCAUCCUUGUGGAGUACUA